GGCCCAGUGGCGCAACGGUUAACGCGUCUGACUACGAAUCAGGAGACUGCAGGUUCGAAUCCUGCCUGGGUCG